GACGAACGCUGGCGGCGUGCUUAGCACAUGCAAGUCGAACGGUGAUGCUCCAGCUUGCUGGAGUGGAUCAGUGGCGAACGGGUGAGUAACACGUGAGCAACCUGCCCCAGACUCUGGAAUAAGCGCUGGAAACGGCGUCUAAUACUGGAUACGAAACUGGCCCGCAUGGGCAUGGUUUGGAAAGUUUUUCGGUUUGGGAUGGGCUCGCGGCCUAUCAGCUUGUUGGUGAGGUAAUGGCUCACCAAGGCGACGACGGGUAGCCGGCCUGAGAGGGCGACCGGCCACACUGGGACUGAGACACGGCCCAGACUCCUACGGGAGGCAGCAGUGGGGAAUAUUGCACAAUGGGCGAAAGCCUGAUGCAGCGACGCCGCGUGAGGGAUGACGGCCUUCGGGUUGUAAACCUCUUUCAGCAGGGAAGAAGCGAAAGUGACGGUACCUGCAGAAGAAGCACCGGCUAACUACGUG
rnacentral:rRNA from 1 species